rnacentral:rRNA from 1 species
CACGUAGGCACCAAGCGUUGUCCGGAUUUAUUGGGCGUAAAGAGCUCGUAGGCGGUUCAGUAAGUCGGGUGUGAAAACUCUGGGCUCAACCCAGAGACGCCACCCGAUACUGCUGUGACUUGAGUCCGGUAGGGGAGUGGGGAAUUCCUGGUGUAGCGGUGAAAUGCGCAGAUAUCAGGAGGAACACCGGUGGCGAAGGCGCCACUCUGGGCCGGUACUGACGCUGAGGAGCGAAAGCGUGGGUAGCAAACAGG